rnacentral:rRNA from 1 species
AGUGAACGCUGGCGGUAGGCCUAACACAUGCAAGUCGAACGGCAGCACAGUAGGAGCUUGCUCUUACGGGUGGCGAGUGGCGGACGGGUGAGGAAUACAUCGGAAUCUACUUUUUCGUGGGGGAUAACGUAGGGAAACUUACGCUAAUACCGCAUACGACCUACGGGUGAAAGCAGGGGAUCUUCGGACCUUGCGCGAUUGAAUGAGCCGAUGUCGGAUUAGCUAGUUGGCGGGGUAAAGGCCCACCAAGGCGACGAUCCGUAGCUGGUCUGAGAGGAUGAUCAGCCACACUGGAACUGAGACACGGUCCAGACUCCUACGGGAGGCAGCAGGGGGGAAUAUUGGACAAUGGGCGCAAGCCUGAUCCAGCCAUACCGCGUGGGUGAAGAAGGCCUUCGGGUUGUAAAGCCCUUUUGUUGGGAAAGAAAAGCAGCAGGUUAAGACCCCGCUGUUCUGACGGUACCCAAAGAAGAAGCACCGGCUAACUUCGU